rnacentral:sRNA from 1 species
UGUGCCCUUCUUGGGCGUUUCCUCCCUAAACUUCGGGCCGCUCAUCAGGGCGGCCUUUUUUCUGGCC